AGAGAAAAACAAUAAAUAGAUUUUAAAUAACAAAACCAACAUUAAGUGCUAAACUGUGGAUCUACAUGUGCCAUUAGAACCAUUCAUAGUCAACAGUCGACCUAGAGUUCAGAAAGUAUUUAACAACCUAGACAAUGUUGAUAUGUGAUGGGGUGUUGCAGUACAAAAACUAUCUUCAAGUUACCAACGCGACUUUACAAGGUUUUAAUCAAUGCAGAAAAAACAAACUAUAUAGAAUAUCCCUAUCAUCAUUAAAAACACUCUUUUUAGCUCCACGACCCAUCUUUGUUCAGUCUACUAGGCUGUACACCCCACUAUUCAAUGGCACAGUACCUGCAUGAUAGCUCUGUACAAUCGCUUGUCUACAUUGUUUUUUUACUACAAACCUCCCGUGCGACUGCUCUUAAUAUCAACAAUCACGAAAAGACUCGAAACAUACCUCCUAAAUGCUCCAUGACAACAAAUAUAAAACAAUCUCAUCACACUUUCAUCCAAAAUAAAUCCUUCUGGAGGAAACAAACCAAUUAUAGCAACAUAAAUAAAUUCACUUUCUUCCAUCUUCGACAAGAUCGAGCAGACGACAUGUAUUAUAUCCGGCUGACAGAAUAUAUGACGACCAAAAAAACUUGUUUACUGUUAUUUUAUAUAAGGUAUUUUAUCAUUUGUGUCUGGUCCUGUGAUGCUUUUUCUUUUUUUUUUUCUGCACAAGGACUUAUCCGAUUUAAAAAAAAAAAAAAGUACAGUUGCACCGAAUCCCCAAAACGAUGGUUGUCAAGCAGCAUCUCGAUGCUACAGAUCAUACACGAAAACUGGAAUUCCACUCACACUUGAAGUCUCAGUCAGUGUCACUAAAGCAGUCUCUGAUGGAUGCUGCACAUGUGCAAAUGGCCAGAGUGGGCACUGUGGACAUAUUGUGGGCUUGCUGUACCAGCUUGCUCAUUUUAAGAUAACAGGAACAAACUACAUUCCUGAGGUCAUCUUGACAAUGAAGAGGGAUGAUCUGAGACUAUUUUUAGGUGAAAUAUUUUUUGUCAAGUGUUUCUUAUAUUAAAAAUAAUAGAAAAUUUAGAAAAAAAUUUGCCAGCAGGUAUUACUUGUUUGCUGUGUAAUAUUCCAUCAUCUACAUCAGUUUCUCAUUUGCAGGAUGCUGCAAAAACAUCAUAGCCCCAGACAUGGCACAUCUCCAGAGGAGAAAAGAUAAGAGGGGAGGCAGUGGAUGAAAUCAAAAUCCACAGCGUUAAGUCUGACAAGAAGUCAGACCAUAGUAUUUGCAAUACAUACAGGUACAAUCCAUUGUGUUCAGAGUUUCCAUCUGCCCUUUGUCUUGUUGAGAGUUUAAAAGCUGCCACAGAGUCUUGUUGAGAGUUUAAAAGCUGCCACAGAUAGCUCUGCGUCUGCUGUUGCAGUCUCUGUGUCCACGUUUUCACUGAUGAAAAGGAAAAAAAUUUACCACAUGAAAUGACUAAUUUUGCACAAUUCACUUAGCAAUAUUUGACAGGGGUGAACCUGCAGUAAUUUCUGCAAUCAGAUGAACAGAAGUGAACCUACUGAAUUCAGUAAGUGACAGAUCACUUGCAAGAUAUUUUGAUAUACUGAUUUUUUUUUUUUGUCUCAUCAAUAGACUAGGAAUGGGAGUGUUUUGUGUUUUUUGCGAUUUGAGUUGUGAGUUGUAAACUGAAAAUAUUUCUUGAGACUUGCUAAUAGUCAAAGUGUCUGAAGAAGGAUGACACAAUUUCUAUUGUUAUAAUGUGUUAAUAUUAUUACAUAUUUUUUUCACAGUGAUGAUAUUAAAUGUGAUUUAUAAAAGCACUUUGCAUUUAUCUUUGUAUUUCUAUGUGUGAUUUGGACAGCAGUCUCCAUGCACAUCUGAACUGAUCAAUACUUUUUUCUUUAAAAUACACAUUCUCAUCUUGUGUAAAGCAUUCAGGUAGUUCACAAUAAAUAAGGUGACCAGAUGUUUCGGGGGCGAAAGCGGGACACGUGCCGAUGAUGGUGUCGUCACCGUCAAAAAACGCCGAAAAUAGUGAUUUUUAAAGAC